rnacentral:rRNA from 1 species
GACGAACGCUGGCGGCGUGCUUAACACAUGCAAGUCGAACGAAGUGGCGAACGGGUGAGUAACGCGUAAUCAACCUGCCCUUCAGAGGGGGACAACAGUUGGAAACGACUGCUAAUACCGCAUACUGAAGGAGGGGCUUCCGGCUGAUUAGCUAGGUGGAGGGGUAACGGCCCACCAAGGCGAUGAUCAGUAGCCUGACUGUGAGGAUGACCGGCCACAUUGGGACGGAGACACGGCCCAGACUCCUAGGGAAGGCAGCAGUGGGAACUCUUCCGAAAUGGACGAAAGUCUGACGGAGCAACGCCGCGUGAGUGAUGACGGCCUUCGGGUUGUAGAGCUCUAUUAAUCGGGACGCGGUACCGGAAUAGAAAGCCACGGCUAACGACGUGCCAGCAGCCGCGGUAAUAC